rnacentral:rRNA from 1 species
CCCUUAGAUGUCCUGGGCUGCACGCGCGCUACACUGAUGUGUCCAGUAAGCACCUAACCUAUUCCGAGAGGAGCGGGUAACCUUAGCAAAGCACAUCGUGAUGGGGAUAGAUUAUUGCAAUUAUUAGUCUUGAACGAGGAAUUCCUAGUAAGCACAAGUCAUCAGCCUGUGUUGAUUACGUCCCUGCCCUUUGUACACACCGCCCGUCGCUCCUACCGAUUGAAUGUUCCGGUGAGCUCUUCGGACUGCGCGGUCUGCAGUUUCUGCGUUCCGUGCGGAAAGUUGUGCAAACCUUAACAUUUAGAGGAAGGAGAAGUCGUAACA